CAGACAGCAAGAGGUUGUGAAAAGGCUGGCAAGGAGGCGGCAGCAAUCAUAUACGUCUCCCCUGUGCUGCCCCUGGAGCCCCCAGCAGAAGACGGUACGAGCAAGGAAAGGUCGAGGCCACGAGAUGAACGGUCCCACCUCUUGCUGGAAUGAGCCUUAAUUUGAUAGGGGUUGGGCUGAGCCAGGACUGUGAGAAGGAAGUCGCUCCUAUUGGAUCCAGAUGUGAGCGGAAGGACAGACAACAGCUCGACUGAAA